rnacentral:rRNA from 1 species
UACGGGGGGGGCAAGCGUUGUUCGGAAUUAUUGGGCGUAAAGAGCUCGUAGGCGGUUUGUUGCGUCUAUCGUGAAAACCUGCAGCUUAACUGUGGGCUUGCGGUGGAUACGGGCAGACUUGAGUUCGGUAGGGGAGACUGGAAUUCCUGGUGUAGCGGUGGAAUGCGCAGAUAUCAGGAAGAACACCAACGGCGAAGGCAGCUCGCUGGGACGGUACUGACGCUGAGACGCGAAAGCGUGGGGAGCGAACAGG